rnacentral:rRNA from 1 species
CCUACGGGUGGCUGCAGUAGGGAAUCUUCGGCAAUGGACGAAAGUCUGACCGAGCAACGCCGCGUGAGUGAAGAAGGUUUUCGGAUCGUAAAACUCUGUUGUUAGAGAAGAACAAGGACGUUAGUAACUGAACGUCCCCUGACGGUAUCUAACCAGAAAGCCACGGCUAACUACGUGCCAGCAGCCGCGGUAAUACAGAGGGUGCAAGCGUUAAUCGGAAUUACUGGGCGUAAAGCGCGCGUAGGUGGUUUGUUAAGUUGGAUGUGAAAUCCCCGGGCUCAACCUGGGAACUGCAUUCAAAACUGACUGACUAGAGUAUGGUAGAGGGUGGUGGAAUUUCCUGUGUAGCGGUGAAAUGCGUAGAUAUAGGAAGGAACACCAGUGGCGAAGGCGACCACCUGGACUAAUACUGACACUGAGGUGCGAAAGCGUGGGGAGCAAACAGGAUUAGAUACCCUAGUAGUC